rnacentral:rRNA from 1 species
UACGUAGGGAGCGAGCGUUGUCCGGAUUUACUGGGCGUAAAGCGCGCGUAGGCGGGCUUCUAAGUUGGGGGUGAAAUCCCGGAGCUCAACUCCGGAACUGCCUCCAAAACUGGGAGCCUUGAGGUAUGGAGAGGGAAGUGGAAUUCCUGGUGUAGCGGUGAAAUGCGUAGAUAUCAGGAGGAACACCUGUGGCGAAGGCGGCUUCCUGGCCAUUACCUGACGCUGAGGUGCGAAAGCUAGGGGAGCGAACGGG